rnacentral:rRNA from 1 species
UUUAUGGAGAGUUUGAUCCUGGCUCAGGAUGAACGCUGGCGGCGUGCCUAAUACAUGCAAGUCGAGCGAACGGACGAGAAGCUUGCUUCUCUGAUGUUAGCGGCGGACGGGGGAGGAACACGUGGAUAACCUACCUAUAAGACUGGGAUAACUUCGGGAAACCGGAGCUAAUACCGGAUAAUAUUUUGAACCGCAUGGUUCA